GAGGUGGCGACCGGCGCACGGGUGAGUAACACGUAUGCAACCUGCCUAGUAAGCGGGGGAAUAACCCGUUGAAAGACGGACUAAUACCGCAUAAUACUAAAUUACUGCAUGGUAAUUUAUUUAAACAUUUAUGGCUUACAGAUGGGCAUGCGCAUGAUUAGCUAGUUGGAGAGGUAACGGCUCCCCAAGGCAACGAUCAUUAGGGGUUCUGAGAGGAAGGUCCCCCCACACUGGUACUGAGACACGGACCAGACUCCUACGGGAGGCAGCAGUGAGGAAUAUUGGUCAAUGGACGAGAGUCUGAACCAGCCAAGUCGCGUGCAGGAAGAAUUGUCCUAUGGAUUGUAAACUGCUUUUGCAGGGGAAUAAAGUGCAUCACGUGUGAUGUUUUGUAUGUACUCUGCGAAUAAGGAUCGGCUAACUCCGUGCCAGCCGCCGC
rnacentral:rRNA from 1 species